CUGACCUAGUCAACAUGGAAAAACACCUGCUUCUCAUUUUAAUUCUGACUUCAGGUGUGAUGACUGCAGACCAGAUUAGGCCAAAUAAAGAUGCUGUUGUCAUAAAGGAAGACGAGACUGUGACCCUCAGCUGCUCAUAUGAUACAAGCAGCAGUUAUGUUAGACUUUAUUGGUACAGACAGUAUCCUAAAGGGGAGCUUCGCUAUUUAAUAUACAAGGCUGCACGGUCGAGUGGUGGAAGUGGGAGCCCCUCUGAUCCUCGCUUUCAGUCGACUACAUCACACACAUCCACUGAACUCACUAUUACUGGUGUAACUCUGUCAGAUUCAGCUCUCUAUUAUUGUGCUUUAAGAGUUGGAGCCCAGUGGUACAAAGUCAAUGUGAAGCUGUACAAAAACUCUAAUCAAUUUUUCCCUUUUAAUGUCAAGCCACAUCACACCCACAAUCUAGAAUUCUCAGAAUAUAACUACACUUGUGGAAACACCUGUGUGUUGUUACUGAAAGGGUAA